AGCAUGGCUUAGUAGAAAAAGCACGGGUUUGGGAGUCCCAGGAUGUGGGUUCUAAUCCCACAUUUGCCA
rnacentral:tRNA from 1 species